UUUUAGUUUAACUCCCCGAAACUGAUGUGAGCUACUUCGAAACAGCCAUAAGAGCUAACCCGUCUCUGUUGCAAUAGAGUGGGAAGAUUUCCAAGUAGAGGUGAUAAACCUACCGCACUCAGAAAUAGCUGGUUACUCAAGAAAAGAAUAUAAGUUCAACCUUAAGUUUAUUUUAGUCCUUAAAAACCUNACAAAACUUAAGAGCUAUUCAAAUAAGGCACAGCUUAUUUGAAACAGGAUACAACCUUUAUCAUAGGGUAAUACAUCAAAAAUAAAAUGAUUAGUGGGCCUAAAAGCAGCCACCUUAAACAAAAGCGUCAAAGCUUAACAUUUUCUUUUUCUAAUUCCUCAAACCACCUAAAACCCAUCCCCAAUAUUGAGUAAUUCCAUAAAAAUAUGGAAGAUAUUAUGCUAGAACUAGUAACAAGAAAUAACUUUUCUCCAAAAUGUAAGUCUAAGCCCCUUUAGAUAAACUAAUGGCAAUUAACGAAAAUGAACCUCCUUUAGUAACUAAUCAAGAAAAUUCUACAAACCCUUACGUUAACCUUACACUAGAACAUUAAUGGAACGAUUUAUAGAAAACGAGGGAACUCGGCAAAUCUUAGGCCCGCCUGUUUACCAAAAACAUCGCCUCUUGAAAUCAAUAUAAGAGGUCUAGCCUGCCCAGUGAUNNNNUUCAACGGCCGCGGUACCCUAACCGUGCGAAGGUAGCAUAAUCACUUGUUCUUUAAAUGAGGACUUGUAUCAACGGCAUCACGAGGGUUACACUGUCUCCUUUUUCCAAUCAGUGAAACUGAUCUCUCCGUGAAGAAGCGGAGAUUUUUCUAUAAGACGAGAAGACCCCAUGGAGCUUUAAACCCACNUGCACUCCUAUUUUNUAUNNCCUCUAAAACUAUGGAAUCUGCAUUCUUGGUUUUAGGUUGGGGUGACCGCGGAGCACAAUAUAGCCUCCACGAUGAACGGGAUUACCCCCUUAUCUACGAGCUACACCUCUAAGAAUUAGUAUUCUAACAUAAAAUGAUCCGACAAUCGAUCAACGAACCAAGUUACCCUGGGGAUAACAGCGCAAUCCACUUCAAGAGCUCCUAUCGACAAGUGGGUUUACGACCUCGAUGUUGGAUCAGGGUAUCCUAGUGGUGCAGCAGCUACUAAAGGUUCGUUUGUUCAACGAUUAAAACC
rnacentral:rRNA from 1 species